ACCCGCUGAGCCAUCUCGCCAGCCCAAACUGCUUGGUUGUGGUAACUUAUUAUACAGCAACGAAUAACUAAUAGCUCUUUUUAUUCAAUAUGCUUUCUGACAAGUUGUAGACCAUGAAAAAGCUAGUAGCCACUCAAUAGCUACUUUGUAUUGACCACUUUAGCCAACCCUGCUGCUUUCACUACUUUGGCUUUAUUUUCUUCGUUUUUCUAGAAAGGCAAACCUGAGGAUACAGAAGGAAAACAAACGCAGUUUCUCCGAGUGUAGAAGUGUGAACACCAGAUGGUCAUGAGCCACCAUGUGGUUGCUGGGAUUUGAACUCAGAACCUCUGGAAGAGUCUUAACUACUGAGCCAUCUCUCCAGGUAAUGAUUUUUAUACCAAUCACAGCAUAGCUCUCAUGGAAAUAAAGGAUUAUAGUGCACCGGCCACAGGCCUUCUUCCUGGGCCACCAGGGAAAGUGUCACCACCCUGGCUUAGGUGACUAUGGCUGCAGGGGUAUUCAGAGUUUGCAGAAGCUUGUCUUGCAUAGAGCACUACCUUUUAAAGUCUGCAGAGACAGUCUGGAGAGGUCACGCUUGGAACAUGCCUUUAGUGGGCCUCUGCAGAGGUUAGAACAACCUCAGAGUGAUUGCAAAUGCCCCAAGCCACUGGGCUGCCUUUGUAGUAGUCUGGCUGCUUGCCAGUUAAGGGGCCACUUGACUGACAGCUCCUCACUUAAGGCUACCAGGCAUAAGGGAAGGCCCUGUCAAAUGCUUGCUUUUGACAAGGUAAGUCAUCCACAGAAAUCAUUAAAAGAGUAUUACAAUAAAGACUUAAUGGGAAUCCAACCCAGAACUAACAAUACUGACAGUAUUUCACAGUUCUUAAUAGCAUUUAGCAGUGCUUAACAGUCCUCAAUGAACUCCCUGGCCGGGGAGGAGAAAUGGGUCCCUUUGGUUUGUCUCACUUGGGAAGACACAGCUAUCUCCUUUCAUGGAGCAGAAUCUUUUCAAAGGUCCUCAGCAUUUGUAGGUGUGUGUGUGUGUGUGUGUGUGUGUGUGAGUGUGUGUGUGUGUGUUAAGCAUAUGUGCAGAUAUGUUUGCUCUUCUGUACAAUCUUCCUUUUUUAAUAAAAUUUUAUGUCUUUUUUUCAGCUAUGGAGAGAUGGAUCAGCAGGUAAGAGCACUUGCUGCUCUUGCAGAGGACUCAGGUUCAGUUCCUAGCAGGGCAUGGGUGGUUUACAACUUCAGAGAAUUCAGUGCCUUCUUCUGAUUUCCCAAGGCAGCAGGCACACAUGCAGUGCACUUGCAUGCAGUCAACACACACACACACACAUACAAUGAAAAUAAAUAAUUCUUAAAAAAAAUAAUCUUAUGAUCCUUCCACCCCAAACACAGGGGCUGUGCAGAAUCACACCCACCUAGGCGAUCUUUCCAGUUAUCCGGUUGUAUUUUAACUAAAGGACAGAGGACAGCGCUACACAGCACCAGGUGACUCUGACAUACAAGACAUCCAUCCUCAACUCUUCAUCUGCUCAAGCCUGUGUGUCUGUUUGGAGGUGUGUGUGUGUGUGUGUGUGUGUGUGUGUGUGUGUGUGUGUGUGUGUGUGUGAAAAUGUCCCCUGUUCCUCUUCACUUCAUCUAAGAACUACUUCCAAAUACCAUCCCCAGCUAAUGGCUUAAGCUUGGAAGGUGGCAGGGGUCAACUUAACAAGGCACCUUACCUGUUAACAGGGCCACUUUCAGGUGCCCAGUGUCCCAAAUUGCCAGGCUGUUCCCUUCCCCAGGUACAGUCCCUCUAGAAUCAUGCCCCACUCUUUCAGGGAAGGAGGAAGAUGGUAUCUGGAAGGAACCUGUUUCUGGGAUGGUCUGGAGUGGUCAUGAGUGGAGCAUGUCUUCAGCCAGGGCUAUAGUGAUGUAUCAGCCACGUGGGUCCCACUCUCAGACUCCCCAGUCAGCUCCUUCAAAAUACAGAGCCCAUUCCCCAAAGGGAUUGCCAGAUGAUGUGCUACCAUCUGGCCUCUUACCUCAGGGACAGUCAUUAUGCCAGCAUCUCACCUAUUACUCAUGACACAGUUCUGUCUCAGAAACUGGCACCAUGACUCUAUACUAAAGAACAAUGGUAGAUGCAUUCCAGUACAGGCCUUGCAUAUCUUGCAGAAUCUUGGCAGUCCUGGCAUGGGUGGGCUUUGAGGUUUCAAAAGCUCACACACAGGCCAAUGUGUCCCCUCCCUCCCUCCCUCCCUCCCUCCCCCUUCUUUCUCUCUCUCUCUCUCUCUCUCUCUUUCUCUGCCUUCACAUCACAGCUCUCAGGUAUCGCUCCAGCAUGCCUGCUGUCACGUUCCCUGCCAUGAUGAUAAUGAACUGAACCUCUGAAAGUGUAAGGCAGCCCCAAUUAAACAUUUUCCUCUAAAAGAGUUGCCAUUGUCAUGGUGUCUCUUCAUAGCAAUAGAACAGUGACUAAGGCAGUGCCUGUGACACUGGUAGGAAAUCAACAGGAGACUUGGGGGUUGAAAGGGGACUGUCACAGUAGUUUAAGGUGACAGCAGAGUUGGGGGGUGCAGCCACAAUGUCAGAUGUCAUCAGGACCCCCAUCACUCAGCAAGAAAGACCAGGAAAACUGAGCACAUCCUGUCAGCUUCUGGAUUUUGUUUCUUGCUGCCUUUCUUUACUCAUCCACAGACAGACCACUGGCCGUUUCCAAGUAACUUCUAAGUCCUGCCAAGGAAAAGAAGUGCCUCUUCAUGAUCACCUUCUGGUCAAGCCUGGGCUAGGUGCACAGGUGCAGAUGAAGCCACAGUUAGGAAGCCAAUGGUGGGCAGUGAGGGCGCCAUCCCUCUGUCUGUCCAGCUCCUUGCUCACGCUUCAUCAGGACUGACAGUCUGGCCAGGCGUUGGCUUUUCUGGAAGAAGUAAAAAGGUGCCCCGCUCAGGGCACAACUCCGUUUGGGGAUUUGCAGCCAGAGAUGCUUCCAGAAGUGCAUGCCACACUGCCCAGUAUGCCACCCAGAAGUCUCAGGAGUCGAGAGCUGUAAGUGGAUCUUAAUCCUGGCAACUUUAGCAGCAGAACGUUGCCAGGUUCUCGUCUCUUCUCUCUUCACAACUUACCUCCUUUCUGCUUUCAUUUCCUACCCUAGUUGCAGUCUUAGUUCUUUCUCCCCAAGGCUGAUGCAGGCUGCAGGCAACACUGUCGUCAGCAGAGGACGCCAAAGCCUUUUUACACACCAGAGCCCAAGCCUGGCUCAGGGCUGAAGAGUAGGAGCCAGGCAAAGGCUCUGUGUUUCAGGCAGCCACACUAGGGCUCUCUGUGUGCUGCAUGAGGGUCUGCCUCCAUGCUUUUAGGCUUCUGUCAUCCAGUGGGGGUGGUACACUUGCACACAAAGCCAGCCAAUGUGCAUGUAUUCAUGCACAUGUGCGUGGUUUCCUUUGUCCUUUUGCACUUGUUUGUGUCUCUGUAAGUCCACCUAGAUUGUCAGUGGCCUCAUUUGUAUCCAUCCUGGCAUGCUCAGGUAUGAUGAGUCCGUGUGCUGUUUUGUGUGUCUGGAUGUACCUGGGCCUCUGAAUCUGUGAAUAUCUGGGAAUGCUUGUAUGUGAGUUGGCAUGGUGGGUGUUUGUAUGUUGCAUGUUCCAACUACCUAUCUCUGAUGCUUGGCUUCAUAUGUGUGUGGGUGGUAGGGAGAGAGUAGCAGUGAGGGGGUGGUAAUCUGGUUCCCCAGGAAGCACAUAUGACAGCUACAUAGUGUCAAAGAGGAAAGUCAGGGACAGAUAGUAUGUGUAGACCUGAUCGCCAAUCUCACUGAGGCCACCUUAGCCAGCCUAAUUCUAGAUUCUAAGCAAUUGUGGGGCAGGCAAGAAUGGCUUUCCAUAAAGGCAAGGGAACAAACAACUGCUCAUCCCUGCCCAAGGCUCGGCUAGAAGCUCUGUAUCUAUUAUCGUGAUCGACCAUCCUAACAACCUUAUGAACCCCACCAUGCAGAUGAAGACAAUAAAACUCAGGGAAACCUGAGAGCUUGCCUAAGGUUGACCAGCUAGGACAUAGAAAAGCCAAAACUCAAACUCUAGUCUCUGGUUCCAAAGUCCAUGCGGGUUUCCCACUCUGGAAAGCUGCCCUUUCAAGAUGUGCUUUCUCCACCCCAGCAAAGAUGGCCUGAGUUCAGCUCAGAGCAUUCCAGAAGCAGCAGCUGCUUGUGGCUAGAAUGACUGAACUGAGAAAUUAAUGUUGAUGGACAGUUCCUCGGAGUGAAAGAAUAAGGGACUAUAUUUAGCUGUUUGCUGCGGGCUAGUUAGCUGGUAGGGAGAGAGGGGAACAGAGAGAGAGAGAGAGAGAGGGAGAGA